rnacentral:rRNA from 1 species
AGAGUUUGAUCAUGGCUCAGGAUGAACGCUAGCUACAGGCUUAACACAUGGCAAGUCGAGGGGAAACGACAUCGAAAGCUUGCUUUUGAUGGGCGUCGACCGGCGCACGGGUGAGUAACGCGGUAUCCAACCUGCCCACCACUUGGGGAUAACCUUGCGAAAGUAAGACUAAUACCCAAUGACGUCUCUAGAAGACAUCUGAAAGAGAUUAAAGAUUUAUCGGUGAUGGAUGGGGAUGCGUCUGAUUAGCUUGUUGGCGGGGUAACGGCCCACAAGGCGACGAUCAGUAGGGGUUCUGAGAGGAAGGUCCCCCACAUUGGAACUGAGACACGGUCCAAACUCCUACGGGAGGCA